UACGAGAGGUCCAAACGUUAUUCGGAAUCACUGGGCUUACAGAGUUCGUAGGCGGUACGGAAAGUGGGGUGUGAAAGCCCUCGGCUCAACCGAGGAACUGCGCUCCAAACUACCGUGCUAGAGGAAGAUAGAGGUGAGCAGAACUGAUGGUGGAGCGGUGAAAUGCGUAGAUAUCCAGAGGAACACCAGUGGCGAAGGCGGCUCACUGGGCUCCACCUGACGCUGAGGCGCGAAAGCGUGGGGAGCGAACCGG
rnacentral:rRNA from 1 species